UACGAAGGGUGCAAACGUUGCUCGGAAUUAUUGGGCGUAAAGCGCACGUAGGCGGCUUAGCAAGUCGGAUGUGAAAUCCCUGGGCUCAACCCAGGAACUGCGUCCGAUACUGGUUGGCUUGAAUCCGGGAGAGGGAUGUGGAAUUCCAGGUGUAGCGGUGAAAUGCGUAGAUAUCUGGAGGAACACCGGUGGCGAAGGCGACAUCCUGGACCGGUAUUGACGCUGAGGCGCGAAAGCCAGGGGAGCAAACGGG
rnacentral:rRNA from 1 species